AAAUAAUCUCUAAGGAUAAGAAUAUCAAAUCUCUGGGACUCAUAUGUAAAUGAUGAGAACAAGAAACUGACUGAUUUAAUGAAAUCAUUGGAAAUUUUUGCUAUACAGGAAGUUCAAAUGCUUAAAAAAACAAUGGUGACUAGAUUACAGGCCAUAGAAGACCUUCUUAAAACUGUACACCCAGGAGUUAAAGUACCAAUAAAAGAGAAUAAAAAAUAUUUAACAUCGCCAGAACCUUUCAGAAUCAGAGAUGAUUUAUCAAAGGUCAUAUCAUCAUUGUCACCUGCUAUGAUCUAUUUUGUUACUAUUUCUCAAAAGCCAGCAAAUAUUGAAUACCCAGAAGGAUAUACAGAAUGCAAGUGGGGUCCUAUAUGUAUGAAAGAUUCAAAAUAUAUUAAGGAAGAAGUAGUUUCUUAUGUCAUGCAUUCACCAUAUGUGAGGCAGUUAGUAAAGGCAUGGACUACAAGAAAUAGAAUAGCUCCAAAUGACUGGCUUCAGUUACUUUGCAGUUUCAGAACUUGGUCCACAGCUGCAGUAGAAGUCAUAUUGGAGGGAAGAGGCCAAAGCCCUUGAACAUCAAGGCAGAAUCAAAAGUUAUGAGGCUUCCCAAGAUCAAAUUCUUUGUUUGAGUCUCUAUCAGUUUUCUACAAUGAUACCAUGACCAUGCCUAACAUUGACCUUUGAAGUCUCCAAAAGGAGGAUGGGGCCAUAAAAUGACAAUUUCACCAGGAUUAUCACAACACCAUUAUGCUGAACAACACCAACUAAAGAUCAGCUUUGGACUACAAAAUGCUCACAAUUCGAGAUGACUUGCUGAGAUUAUCCAGCCUCACAGACACUGCUUGGAACAAUUUCAAGGUGGCUAUCUGAGGUUAUUCAGCCUCACAGACUACUUUGGUUCACAGAAAUGUCUGUUAGAUAUGCUAGGCCUAUAGGCCAAAGAUGGAUGCCCCAACAUUACAGAGCAACCUUGGGUGACUGUCCAAGUAGCCAAUUGUUUCUGUCAUUUCUCACAUUUUUGAAAGUCUCUUGCUCAUACUUCCUGUUUACUCAAUUAAUAUUAUUUUUCUUCUUGGGUCUCUGAGGGAGUUGAAGACUAGAUAAAAUAGUUACAGUUUUCCUUGUUUACCAGGUUCAUUAAAGAAAUUCACUAGCGAUGUAUUAAGUAUAAUAGGUUUGAAAGACAUUAAAAGAUAAUUUGAUAAUGCAAAUUAGAAUAGAAAGUAAAUUAGGUACAAGAUUUGCACUCAUUCAGAAAGAAUAGAUAAUGUAGUAUUUUCUCUGAAUUUGUCAAAUGCUAAUGGACUAGACAUUGUUAAUGUACUUAUUUCCUGUACUGUUGGGCCUUAAAAGGCUCAGAUGUGAGGCCCAGUAUAACCUCCUGAGCCUGGCUAGCGUUUGGCGACCUGUCUCUGGCCUGUAGUAACCUCCACAUGGGGUUGACUCAGCAAGGCCUGAUGUAAGACUGCCCGCUGCCUAGCUACCUGCCAGCUUGGUGGAAUAUUAUUGGCCCUUACUCCUCACGUCUCCUUACCCCAUCCUAAGAUUCCCAUUCCCUAUCUCAACCCUAUAUAAGUUCCUGCCUGUUGGAAUAAAGUGAGAUCCUGCUUUGACAAGUCUCCCGACUCAGUGUGUGUUUCUCCCCAUACCUGGGGGGUUUCUGAGUUGUGGACACUCACCACCCCGCUCAGCCCCUUGAAGAGACUGGUUGGACUGGCCUUUCCCCAGCUCUACGUGCUGGAGGACCCAGAACUGUGCAUACUAUAUAUAGUUUUUCUUAUAUUAGUAUAGCCUUUUUUAUUUUUAGACAAAAAAGGGAUAUGUGGUGAUAUCUUGCUUGUACAAAUAAAACCUGUCUGAAUAUCAGAGGAUGGAGUUUGCCACUAACUAAUCAUGGGGUCUGGAUGUCUGUACAGACAGACAGGAAGUGAAAUGGCUGAGAGAAAAGAGGGAAGAAACAGGAACACACUUUCUUGUCUGCUGACAUGCAAAGGAGGUAAUUUUGGCUUUGGCUUGCUCCUUCUUCUCUCUGAUCUCUCAGCAUUUUCCUCUAUAUCUGACUCUGGGUUUUUAUUAUUGAGACCAAUUAAGAACUCCUUUUUAUAAACCUGGAUCCUCUGGAAGAGGAGCAAGUGCUCUUCAUACACUGAGCCAUCUCCC
rnacentral:lncRNA from 1 species